rnacentral:rRNA from 1 species
AUUAGAUUAAAAACCAAUGCCCUUCGGGGCUCUCUGGUGAUUCAUGAUAACUUCUCGAAUCGCAUGCCUUGCGCCGGCGAUGGUUCAUUCAAAUUUCUUCCCUAUCAACUUUCGAUGUUUGGGUAUUGGCCAAACAUGGUUGCAACGGGUAACGGAGGGUUAGGGCUCGACCCCGGAGAAGGAGCCUGAGAAACGGCUACUACAUCCAAGGAAGGCAGCAGGCGCGCAAAUUACCCAAUCCCGACUCGGGGAGGUAGUGACAAUAAAUACUGAUACAGGGUUCUUUCGGAUCUUGUAAUUGGAAUGAGUACAAUUUAAAUCCCUUAACGAGGAACAAUUGGAGGGCAAGUCUGGUGCCAGCAGCCGCGGUAAUUCCAGCUCCAAUAGCGUAUAUUAAAGUUGUUGUGGUUAAAAAGCUCGUAGUUGAACCUUGGGCCUGGCUGGCCGGUCCGCCUCACCGCGUGUACUGGUCCGGCCGGGCCUUUCCCUCUGUGGAACCCUAUGCCCUUCACUGGG